UACGUAGGUGGCAAGCGUUAUCCGGAUUUAUUGGGCGUAAAGGGAACGCAGGCGGUCUUUUAAGUCUGAUGUGAAAGCCUUCGGCUUAACCGGAGUAGUGCAUUGGAAACUGGGAGACUUGAGUGCAGAAGAGGAGAGUGGAACUCCAUGUGUAGCGGUGAUAUGCGUAGAUAUAUGGAAGAACACCAGUGGCGAAAGCGGCUCUCUGGUCUGCAACUGACGCUGAGGCUCGAAAGCGUGGGGAGCAAACAGG
rnacentral:rRNA from 1 species